CACGUAGGGUGCGAGCGUUGUCCGGAAUUAUUGGGCGUAAAGAGCUCGUAGGUGGUUUGUCGCGUUGUCCGUGAAAACUCACAACUCAAUUGUGGGCGUGCGGGCGAUACGGGCAGACUGGAGUACUGCAGGGGAGACUGGAAUUCCUGGUGUAGCGGUGAAAUGCGCAGAUAUCAGGAGGAACACCGGUGGCGAAGGCGGGUCUCUGGGCCGUAACUGACGCUGAGGAGCGAAAGCGUGGGGAGCGAACAGG
rnacentral:rRNA from 1 species